rnacentral:rRNA from 1 species
AAAAAAGGUAAGCUACUAAGAGCGAAUGGUGGAUGCCUUGACUGGUAAAGGCGAUGAAGGACGUACUAGACUGCGAUAAGCUACGGGGAGCUGUCAAGAAGCUUUGAUCCGUAGAUUUCCGAAUGGGGCAACCCAAUGUAUAGAGAUAUACAUUACCUAUAUAGGAGCAAACGAGGGGAAUUGAAACAUCUUAGUACCCUCAGGAAAAGAAAUCAAUAGAGAUUGCGUCAGUAGCGGCGAGCGAAAGCGCAAGAGGGCAAACCCAGUGCUUGCACUGGGGGUUGUAGGACUGCAAUGUGCAAGAGGUGAGUUUAGCAGAACAUUCUGGAAAGUAUAGCCAUAGAGGGUGAUAGUCCCGUAUGCGAAAAACAAACCUUAGCUAGCAGUAUCCUGAGUAGGGCGGGACACGAGAAAUCCUGUCUGAAGCUGGGUCGACCACGAUCCAACCCUAAAUACUAAUACCAGAUCGAUAGUGCACAAGUACCGUGAGGGAAAGGUGAAAAGAACUGAGGUGAUCAGAGUGAAAUAGAACCUGAAACCAUUUGCUUACAAUCAUUCAGAGCACUAUGUAGCAAUACAGUGUGAUGGACUGCCUUUUGCAUAAUGAGCCUGCGAGUUGUGGUGUCUGGCAAGGUUAAGCAAACGCGAAGCCGUAGCGAAAGCGAGUCUGAAUAGGGCGCUUAGUCAGAUGCUGCAGACCCGAAACGAAGUGAUCUAUCCAUGAGCAAGUUGAAGCUAGUGUAAGAACUAGUGGAGGACUGAACCCAUAGGCGUUGAAAAGCCCCGGGAUGACUUGUGGAUAGGGGUGAAAGGCCAAUCAAACUUCGUGAUAGCUGGUUCUCUCCGAAAUAUAUUUAGGUAUAGCGUUGUGUCGUAAUAUAAGGGGGUAGAGCACUGAAUGGGCUAGGGCAUACACCAAUGUACCAAACCCUAUCAAACUCCGAAUACCUUAUAUGUAAUCACAGCAGUCAGGCGGCGAGUGAUAAAAUCCGUCGUCAAGAGGGAAACAACCCAGACUACCAGCUAAGGUCCCUAAAUCUUACUUAAGUGGAAAACGAUGUGAAGUUACUUAAACAACCAGGAGGUUGGCUUAGAAGCAGCCAUCCUUUAAAGAAAGCGUAAUAGCUCACUGGUCUAGUGAUUUUGCGCGGAAAAUAUAACGGGGCUAAAGUAAGUACCGAAGCUGUAGACUUGACUUUGUCAAGUGGUAGGAGAGCGUUCUAUUUGCGUCGAAGGUAUACCGGUAAGGAGUGCUGGAGCGAAUAGAAGUGAGCAUGCAGGCAUGAGUAGCGAUAAUUAAUGUGAGAAUCAUUAACGCCGUAAACCCAAGGUUUCCUACGCGAUGCUCGUCAUCGUAGGGUUAGUCGGGUCCUAAGUCGAGUCCGAAAGGGGUAGACGAUGGCAAAUUGGUUAAUAUUCCAAUACCAACAUUAGUGUGCGAUGGAAGGACGCUUAGGGCUAAGGGGGCUAGCGGAUGGAAGUGCUAGUCUAAGGUCGUAGGUGCUUAUACAGGCAAAUCCGUAUAAGAAUACACCGAGAACUGAAAGGCUUUUUGAAGUCUUCGGAUGGAUAGAAGAACCCCUGAUGCCGUCGAGCCAAGAAAAGUUUCUAAGUUUAGCUAAUGUUGCCCGUACCGUAAACCGACACAGGUGGGUGGGAUGAGUAUUCUAAGGCGCGUGGAAGAACUCUCUUUAAGGAACUCUGCAAAAUAGCACCGUAUCUUCGGUAUAAGGUGUGGUUCGCUUCGUAUUAGGAUUUACUCCGAAAGCGAAGAAACUUACAACAAAGAGUCCCUCCCGACUGUUUACCAAAAACACAGCACUCUGCUAACUCGUAAGAGGAUGUAUAGGGUGUGACGCCUGCCCGGUGCUCGAAGGUUAAUUGAUGGGGUUAGCAUUAGCGAAGCUCUUGAUCGAAGCCCGAGUAAACGGCGGCCGUAACUAUAACGGUCCUAAGGUAGCGAAAUUCCUUGUCGGUUAAAUACCGACCUGCAUGAAUGGCGUAACGAGAUGGGAGCUGUCUCAAAGAGGGAUCCAGUGAAAUUGUAGUGGAGGUGAAAAUUCCUCCUACCCGCGGCAAGACGGAAAGACCCCGUGGACCUUUACUACAGCUUGACACUGCUAUUUGGAUAAGAAUGUGCAGGAUAGGUGGGAGGCUUUGAGUAUAUGACGCCAGUUGUAUAUGAGCCAUUGUUGAGAUACCACUCUUUCUUAUUUGGGUAGCUAACCAGCUUGAGUUAUCCUCAAGUGGGACAAUGUCUGGUGGGUAGUUUGACUGGGGCGGUCGCCUCCCAAAUAAUAACGGAGGCUUACAAAGGUUGGCUCAGAACGGUUGGAAAUCGUUCGUAGAGUAUAAAGGUAUAAGCCAGCUUAACUGCAAGACAUACAAGUCAAGCAGAGACGAAAGUCGGUCUUAGUGAUCCGGUGGUUCUGUGUGGAAGGGCCAUCGCUCAAAGGAUAAAAGGUACCCCGGGGAUAACAGGCUGAUCUCCCCCAAGAGCUCACAUCGACGGGGAGGUUUGGCACCUCGAUGUCGGCUCAUCGCAUCCUGGGGCUGGAGCAGGUCCCAAGGGUAUGGCUGUUCGCCAUUUAAAGCGGUACGCGAGCUGGGUUCAGAACGUCGUGAGACAGUUCGGUCCCUAUCUGCCGUGGGCGUAAGAAGAUUGAAGAGAUUUGACCCUAGUACGAGAGGACCGGGUUGAACAAACCACUGGUGUAGCUGUUGUUCUGCCAAGAGCAUCGCAGCGUAGCUAAGUUUGGAAAGGAUAAACGCUGAAAGCAUCUAAGCGUGAAGCCAACUCUAAGAUGAAUCUUCUCUAAGCUCUCUAGAAGACUACUAGUUUGAUAGGCUGGGUGUGUAAUGGAUGAAAGUCCUUUAGCUGACCAGUACUAAUAGAGCGUUUGGCUUAUCUUUAAUAAAGCAU